rnacentral:rRNA from 1 species
UACGGGGGGAACAAGCGUUGUUCGGAUUUACUGGGCGUAAAGGGCGCGUAGGCGGCCUGUGCAAGUCAGUUGUGAAAUCUCCGGGCUUAACUCGGAACGGUCAACUGAUACUGCUCGGCUAGAGUGCGGAAGGGGCAACUGGAAUUCUUGGUGUAGCGGUGAAAUGCGUAGAUAUCAAGAGGAACACCUGCGGCGAAGGCGGGUUGCUGGGCCGACACUGACACUGAGAGACGAAAGCUAGGGGAGCAAAUGGG